ACUCCUACGGGAGGCAGCAGUGGGGAAUAUUGGACAAUGGGCGCAAGCCUGAUCCAGCCAUGCCGCGUGAGUGAUGAAGGCCCUAGGGUUGUAAAGCUCUUUCAGCGAGGAGGAUAAUGACGUUACUCGCAGAAGAAGCCCCGGCUAACUUCGUGCCAGCAGCCGCGGUAAUACGAAGGGGGCUAGCGUUGUUCGGAAUCACUGGGGCGUAAAGCGCACGUAGGCGGACUUUUAAGUCAGGGGUGAAAUCCCGGGGCUCAACCCGGAACUGCCUUUGAUACUGGAAGUCUUGAGUCCGAGAGAGGUGAGUGGAACUCCGAGUGUAGAGGUGAAAGUUCGUAGAUAUUCGGAAGAACACCGAGUGGCGAAGGCGGCUCACUGGCUCGGUACUGACGCUGAGGUGCGAAA
rnacentral:rRNA from 1 species